rnacentral:miRNA from 1 species
AUAAUAGCGAAUCGUAUUCC